GAGGUCAUAGCUCAGUGGUAGAGUACAGUGCUUAGCAUGCACGAGGUCCUAGGUUCAGUCCCCAGUACCUCC
rnacentral:tRNA from 1 species